CAGUCGCCGCGGUAAUACGUAGGGUGCAAGCGUUAAUCGGAAUUACUGGGCGUAGAGCGUGCGCAGGCGGUUAUAUAAGACAGAUGUGAAAUCCCCGGGCUCAACCUGGGAACUGCAUUUGUGACUGUAUAGCUAGAGUACGGCAGAGGGGGAUGGAAUUCCGCGUGUAGCAGUGAAAUGCGUAGAUAUGCGGAGGAACACCGAUGGCGAAGGCAAUCCCCUGGGCCUGUACUGACGCUCAUGCACGAAAGCGUGGGGAGCAAACAGGAUUAGAGACCCCAGUAGUCCCUGUCUCUUAUAC
rnacentral:rRNA from 1 species